rnacentral:rRNA from 1 species
UACGGGGGGGAGCAAGCGUUGUUCGGAUUUACUGGGCGUAAAGGGCGCGUAGGCGGCCACGACAAGUCAGUUGUGAAAUCUCUGGGCUUAACCCAGAAAGGUCAACCGAUACUGCGGGGCUAGAGUGCAGAAGGGGCAACUGGAAUUCUCGGUGUAGCGGUGAAAUGCGUAGAUAUCGAGAGGAACACCUGCGGCGAAGGCGGGUUGCUGGGCUGACACUGACGCUGAAGCGCGAAAGCUAGGGGAGCGAACGGG